rnacentral:rRNA from 1 species
UACAGAGGGGGCAAGCGUUGUUCGGAAUUACUGGGCGUAAAGGGCGCGUAGGCGGCCUUCUAAGUCGAACGUGAAAUCCCCGGGCUCAACCCGGGAACUGCGUCCGAUACUGGAAGGCUUGAAUCCGGGAGAGGGAUGCGGAAUUCCAGGUGUAGCGGUGAAAUGCGUAGAUAUCUGGAGGAACACCGGUGGCGAAGGCGGCAUCCUGGACCGGCAUUGACGCUGAGGCGCGAAGGCCAGGGGAGCAAACAGG